UGCCAGCCGCCGCGGUAAUACGGAGGAUGCAAGCGUUAUCCGGAAUCAUUGGGUUUAAAGGGUCCGUAGGCGGGCAAUUAAGUCAGGGGUGAAAGUUUGCGGCUCAACCGUAAAAUUGCCUUUGAAACUGGUUGUCUUGAAUUAUUAUGAAGUGGUUAGAAUAAGUAGUGUAGCGGUGAAAUGCAUAGAUAUUACUUAGAAUACCAAUUGCGAAGGCAGAUCACUAAUAAUAUAUUGACGCUGAUGGACGAAAGCGUGGGGAGCGAACAGGAUUAGAUA
rnacentral:rRNA from 1 species